rnacentral:rRNA from 1 species
CCCGGGGAACUGAAACAUCUAAGUACCCGGAGGAAAAGAAAACAAAAGUGAUUCCGAAAGUAGUGGCGAGCGAAAUCGGAGAAGCCUAAACCGAAUGUAGAAAUACGUUAGGGGUAAGGACCGCGAAAAGCGAGAGCGGAAGCUAACCGAAAUACCUGGGAAGGUAUAACGCAGAGGGUGAAAUUCCCGUAGGUGAAAGCGGAAGCUUAGCGAGCGGAAUCCGGAGUACGUCGGGACACGAGAAAUCCUGACGGAAGGCACGGGGACCAUCCCGUAAGGCUAAAUACGACCACGUGACCGAUAGCGAACAGUACCGUGAGGGAAAGGUGAAAAGAACCCCGGGAGGGGAGUGAAAAAGAACCUGAAACCGUAAGUUUACAAGCAGACGAAGAGCGUUAAGAGCUCGACGUCGUACUUUUUGUAGAACGGGCCGGCGAGUUACGAUGUGAUGCGAGGUUAAGCGAUGAAGUCGCGGAGCCGAAGCGAAAGCGAAUCUGAAGAGGGUGAAAAGUAUCAUGUCGUAGACCCGAAACCGAAUGACCUAACCAUGAGCAGGUUGAAGCAAUGGUAAAACGUUGUGGAGGACCGAACACACGCCUGUUGAAAUAGUCGGUGAUGACUUGUGGUUAGCGGAGAAAUUCCAAACGAAUUCGGAUAUAGCUGGUUCUCCUCGAAAUAGCUUUAGGGCUAGCCUCGCGUAGAGACUAUGAAGGUAAAGCACUGAAUGACCUAGGGGGCUUCACAGCCUACCGAAGUUUAUCAAACUAAGAAUGUUAUAGUAAGAGGCGCGGGAGUCAGACAGCGACAGCUAAGUGCCGUUGUCAAAAGGGAAACAGCCCAGAUCUACAGCUAAGGUCCCGAAGUACAGGUUAAGUGGAAAAGGAUGUGACGAUGCAAAGACAACCAGGAUGUUGGCUCAGAAGCAGCCACGCAUUAAAAGAGUGCGUAAUAGCUCACUGGUCGAGUGACGUUGCGCCGAAAAUUAACGGGGCUAAAACCUGACACCGAAGCUUAGGAAUACUUUAAGAAGUAUUGGUAGAGGAGCAAUGUAUACGAGAAGAAGGCGUACCGGAAGGAGCGCCGGAUUGUAUAGAAGAGAGAAUGCCGGCAUAAGUAGCGAGAGCGGCGCGAGAAACGCCGCCGUCGAAAGUCUGAGGUUUUCCGGGGAAGGUUCGUCCGCCCGGAGAAAGUCGGGACCUAAGCGGAGGCCGAAAGGCGUACGUGAUGGACAGCAGGUUGAUAUUCCUGCACUACCGAGAGAGAUAAUGAAGCAAUGACACGGAAAGAUAGAAGAAGCGCGCGGAUGGAAAAGCGCGUCCAAGCAAAGAGGGUGGCUUAUAGUAAAGAACGUAAGUCAAAAGCCUGAUUUGUGACGGGGAGUGGACCAAGGAAACGAAGUCUUUGAAUCUACGCCGGCGAGAAAAGUUGCUAAAUAUUUCGAGGUACCCGUACCGCAAACCGACACAGGUAGACGAGAAGAAAAUUCUAAGACGAACGGGAGAACCCUUGUUAAGGAACUCGGCAAAACGACCCCGUAACUUCGGGAGAAGGGGAGCCAUCGAGAGAUGGCCGCAGUGAAGAGGCCCAAGCGACUGUUUAUCAAAAACACAGGUUUCUGCUAAGGCGAAAGCCAAGGUAUAGGAGCUGACUCCUGCCCAGUGCCGGAAGGUCAAGGGGACUUGUAAGCAGCAAUGCGAAGCAACGAACUUAAGCCCCGGUGAACGGCGGCCGUAACUAUAACGGUCCUAAGGUAGCGAAAUUCCUUGUCGGGUAAGUUCCGACCCGCACGAAUGGAGUAACGAUUUGGGCGCUGUCUCAACAGGGGGCCCGGCGAAAUUGUAGUAUACGUGAAGAUGCGUAUUAACCCGCGACUGGACGGAAAGACCCCGUAGAGCUUUACUGUAGCUUGAUAUUGAAUCUCGGCAACUGAUGCACAGAAUAGGUGGGAGACAAAGAAGCAGCGUUUUCGGGCGCUGCGGAGUCAACUUUGGGAUACCACUCUUCGGUUGCUGCGAUUCUAACCGAAAACCGUGAAACCGGGUUCGGGACAUUGUCAGGCGGGCAGUUUGACUGGGGCGGUCGCCU